UCCGAUAUAGUGUAACGGCUAACAUACCUCAUUUUCAACGAGAAGAUCGAGGUUCGAUUCCUCGUAUCGGAG
rnacentral:tRNA from 1 species